AGGGAGGGGACUCAGGAAUACUUUCCGAAUGCACUGUAAAAUAUCCCAGAAAUAUUACAUACACACAAAAUGCUUAUUUCUCUAAAAUUUUGGGCACAAAUGUGUUCACUUCCCUGUUCGUGAACAUUUCUUCUUUGCCAAGAUAAUCCAUCCACCUGACCGGUGUGGCAUAUCAAGAAGCUGAUUAAACAGUAUGAUCAUUACAUAGGUGCACUUUGUGCUGGGGGCAAUAAAAGGCCACUCUUAAAUGUGCAGUUUUGUCACACAUCACAAUGCCACAGCGUGCAAUUGGCAUGCUGACUGCAAGAAUUUCCACCAGAGCUGUUGCCAGAGAAUUGAAUGUACAUUUCUCUACCAUAAACCUCCUCUAAUGUUAUUUUCGAGAAUUUGGCAUUUACGUCCAACCAGCCUCACAAUCGCAGACCACAUGUAUAGUGUCGUGUGGGCGAGCGGUUUGCUGAUUUCAACAUUGUGAACAGAGUGCCCCAUACUGGCGGUGGGGUUUUGGUAUGGGCAGGCAUAAGCUAUGUACAACGAACACAAUUGCAUUUUAUUGAUGGCAAUUUGAAUGUACAGAGAUACCAUGACGAGAUUCUGAGGCCCAUUUUUAUGCCAUUCAUCUGCUGCCAUGACCUCAUCUUUCAACAUGAUAGGCUAAUGCUAUCACGUUUUAAAAUAUGACCCAGGUGCAGACAGUGUUGAAGAAACUAAAGUUUCAUCUUUAAACAGGGGUAUGCAAACGACAGGUCAAGGCUGGCAGGGGUCAAUAAUCCAGAGAGGGUGUAAGGCACCGGAACAGCAGGUGGGCUCAGGGUCAGGUCAGGCAGAGGUCGGCAAUCCAGAGUAGAGGCAAAGGUACAGGACAGCAGGCGGGCUCAGGGUCAGGGCAGGCAGGAAGGUCAAAACCGGGAAACUAGAAAACAGGGACUAUAGGAAAGACAGGAGCAAGGGAAACCGCUGGUAGGUAUGAACGAACAAAACGAACUCGCACAGACAGGGGAUAAUGGGGAAGAUGGGCGACACCUGGAGGGGGCUGGAGACAAGCACAAGGACAGAUGAAACAGAUCAGGGCGUGACAAAUGCACUGCCCCAUGUCGCAAGGAUCUGUACACAAUUCCUGGAAGCUGAAAAUGUCCUAGUUAUUCCAUAGCCUGCAUACAGUACUCACCAGACAUUUCACCUAUUGAGCAAGUUUGGGAGGCUCUGGAUCGACGUGUACGACAGCGCGUUCCAGUUCCCGCCAAUAUCCAGCAACUUCGCAUAGCUAUUGAAUAGGAGUGGGAUAAUAUUACCAGGCCACAAUCAAUAGCCUGAUCAACUCUAUGCAAAGGAGAUGUGUCACGCUGACUGGUUUUCUGUGAUCAACAGAUACAUAUCUGUAUUCCCAGUUAUGUGAAAUCCAUAGAUUAGGGCCUAAUGCCUUUAUUUCAAUUGACUGAUUUCCUUAAAUGAUCUGUAACUCAGUAAAAUUGUUGAAAUUGUUGCAUGUUGCGUUGAUAUUCUUAUUGAGUAUACAUGUGCAUCUCGUCAUGUAGUUGAUGUGUGUUCUGGGAGUAAUGAGUGUGUUCACAUGGGGGGCCCAAGGGGUGUGUGGAUCAGAUGAACGUCCUGGGACACCUGGACUGAAAGUAGGUAUUUUUCACUUGUUUCGGGUAGGUGAAAGAUGCUAUGAUGUUCUAGUGUUGGGGGCUGUAAGUGGGUCUUUUCCAUACAGGAUUCACCUCAGGCAGAAAACUUUGACUUUGGAUUUCUCAGCAUAAUAAACUCACAACACAUAUCAUUAUAUUUUACUGCUGUAGGCCUAUGAUUCCUGUGCUUUUGGCCUUGUGCCAUUCAAUACUAACUGGUAGAAGUCCCCUGAGAAUGAAAUACAAAUUGCAGGACAUGGAAAGGAAAUAAGUUAGUGUGGCUUCAUUUUAAUGUCACAGAGAAGGCAGAAUAAACUUGGAUGUACAUGUGUUAUUGUUAUACAGCAUACAGUACUGUAAUUGUUAAAGUGUUUCCUGUUGUUUCUCUAGGGAGCAGAGGGAGAAACGGGGAUUCAAGGGUUACCUGGUGACCAAGGACUGCCGGGGGUUCAAAGGUCAUGAAUUGCAAAAUGAUGCUCACUUAUCAACUAUAUUACAAAAGGGGAAACUGGAGAGCCCGGUCCCAAAGGAAGCCAAGUAUAAAACAACAUGGUGAGGGGAAUAAUGGUGUGCCUGGGACCCCUGGGACAAGCGGUGAUACUGGGCUCAGAGGAAGCAAAGGAGAGGGGAAGCCACCAACUGAUGGCCACUUGAUGAAGCUUUGCGCUAAUGUACUUCCGAGU